AGCACUUGCAUAUGUCUUUGUUGGACUGAUGGACAAAGACUUAUAAAGUCAGGUGCAAAAAUAAAUCCUCUUUUGUGACUCAGAGCUCAUUUUUAAGUAUGAGUUUUGAUGCAUAUAAGAAGGAAUAAG
ensembl:snoRNA